rnacentral:lncRNA from 1 species
AGGCACCACAGAGGCUGAGGCUGGGGGAUUGCUUGAGCCCAGGAGUUCAAGGGCAGCCUGGGCAAUACGGAAAGACCAGUUUUUAGCAACCCCAACGGUACUGGGUGUGCUGGCUCAUGCCAGUCAUCCCAGCACGAGGGGCGUCGGACAAGAAGACCAGGGAGUUAAAGCCAUCCUUGGCUACGGAUCACACGGGAGGCCAGCCAGAGUGAUGAGACCCUGUUUUUGUUUUUGUUUUUGUUUUGUUUUGUUUAAAUUAUGAGAACGGGGAAUGUCUUAAUUAGGAUUUUAUUGCUGUGAAGAGACACCAAGACCAUGGCAACUCUUAUAAAGAACAACAUUUAACUGGGGCUGGCUUACAGUUGAGAGGAUUAGUCCAUUAUCAUCAUAGCAAGAAGCAUGGUGGGCCUGCAGACAGACAUCGUGCUGGAGAAGGAGCUGAGAGUUCUCCAUAUGGAUCCAAAGGCAGCAGGAAGAGAGGCAUUGGACCUGGCUUGAGCUGCUGAGACCUCAAAGGAAGGCCAUACCUACUCCAACAAGGCUACACCUCUAAUACUGCCCCUCCCUAUGGGUCUAAGGGGGCCAUUCCGUUCGAGUUACCAUGGAGCUGUGGUUAAGUGGUACAGAGCUUUAACGUGCUGAAGAAAACAGUUUCACAAAUAACCUCGACAGUUGCACAACCUUUGAUCCUGGUUAGCGCUGCUGAAAUACACACUUAUGUUAAA